GACGAACGCUGGCGGCGUGCUUAACACAUGCAAGUCGAACGGAAAGGCCCUGCUUUUGUGGGGUGCUCGAGUGGCGAACGGGUGAGUAACACGUGAGUAACCUGCCCUUGACUUUGGGAUAACUUAAGGAAACUGGGGCUAAUACCGGAUAGGAGCUCCUGCUGCAUGGUGGGGGUUGGAAAGUUUCGGCGGUUGGGGAUGGACUCGCGGAUUAUCAGCUUGUUGGUGGGGUAGUGGAUUACCAAGGCUUUGACGGGUAGCCGGCCUGUGAGGGUGACCGGCCACAAUGGGACUGAGAGACGGCCCAGACUCCUACGGGGGGCAGCAGUGGGGAAUAUGGCACAAUGGGCGGAAGCCUGAUGCAGCAACGCCGCGUGCGGGAUGACGGCCUUCUGGGUGUAAACCGCUUUCGCCUGUGACGAAGCGUGAGUGACGGUAAUGGGUAAAGAAGCACCGGCUAACUACGUG
rnacentral:rRNA from 1 species